rnacentral:rRNA from 1 species
UGGGGAAUAUUGCACAAUGGGCGAAAGCCUGAUGCAGCGACGCCGCGUGCGGGAUGAAGGCCUUCGGGUUGUAAACCGCUUUUAAUUGGGAGCAAGCGAGAGUGAGUGUACCUUUUGAAUAAGCACCGGCUAACUACGUGCCAGCAGCCGCGGUAAUACGUAGGGUGCAAGCGUUAUCCGGAAUUAUUGGGCGUAAAGAGCUCGUAGGCGGUUUGUCACGCCUGGUGUGAAAGUCCAUCGCUUAACGGUGGAUCUGCGCCGGGUACGGGCAGGCUAGAGUGCAGUAGGGGAGAUUGGAAUUCCCGGUGUAACGGUGGAAUGUGUAGAUAUCGGGGAAGAACACCAAUGGCGAAGGCAGAUCUCUGGGCUGUUACUGACGCUGAGGAGCGGAAACGNCAUGGGGAGCGAACAGGAUUAGAUA